rnacentral:rRNA from 1 species
CUCUGCGAGAAGUCCAUUGAACCUUAUCAUUUAGAGGAAGGAGAAGUCGUAACAAGGUUUCCGUAGGUGAACCUGCGGAAGGAUCAUUGUCGAGACCGAAAGUAUUAUAUCGAGCGAUUUAGAGAACCUGUGAAUUAAUUGGCGGCAGUUGCUGUCGCGGAACAUCCAUCCAAGUCGUUGUUGCCCCAUCUCAUUUGGGACAGCUGUGAUGAAGGGCGGAUGAAAAAAUUCAAACCGGCGCAGUUCCGCGCCAAGGGAAUAUUGAAAAACACGAGCUCGAGAUCGGGCUUAGUGCUGUGGAGUGCUGACGUGCUCCAUAUGGAUUGACAUGACUCUCGGCAAUGGAUAUCUCGGCUCUCGCAUCGAUGAAGAGCGCAGCGAAAUGCGAUACGUGGUGCGAAUUGCAGAAUCCCGCGAACCAUCGAGUCUUUGAACGCAAGUUGCGCCUGAGGCCAUCCGGCCAAGGGCACGUCUGCCUGGGCGUCAAGCGUUGCGUCGCUUCGUGCCAACUCCAUCCCGACAAUGGGUAUGUCGGAUGAGGCUCGGAUGUGCAGAGUGGCUCGUCGUGCCCAUCGGCGCGGCGGGUUGAAGAGCGGGUUAUCGUCUUACUGGCCAUGAACAACAAGGGGUGGAUGGAAGCUGUGAGAAAGGACUAUGUUGUCUCGUGCUGCCCCGAUAAAAGAUUUUAUACCUUGGAGAAGAUCCCAGCCCAUGCCCCGAUCCACAUGCGGCGGUUUGGAAUGCGACCCCAGGAUGGGCGAGGUCACCCGCCGAGUUUAAGCAUAUCAA